rnacentral:rRNA from 1 species
GCCGCUCAGAACUUAAGGAAUUGACGGGGCCGCACAAGCGGUGGAGUAUGUGGUUUAGUUCGAUGCAACGCGAAGAACCUUACCUGGUCUUGACAUCCCGGAGACCCUUAGGAAACUAGGGGGUGCUUCCAUCUGGAAGAAUCUGGAGUCAGGUGCUGCAUGGCUGUCGUCAGCUCGUGUCGUGAGAUGUUGGGUUAAGUCCCGCAACGAGCGCAACCCUUGCCUUUAGUUGCCAGCAGUUCGGCUGGGCACUCUAAAGGGACUGCCGGUGUUAAACCGGAGGAAGGUGGGGAUGACGUCAAGUCCUCAUGGCCUUUAUGACCAGGGCUACACACGUACUACAAUGGCCGAUACAAAGGGCAGCGACACUGCGAGGUGAAGCCAAUCCCGUAAAAUCGGUCUCAGUCCGGAUUGGAGUCUGCAACUCGACUCCAUGAAGUUGGAAUCGCUAGUAAUCGUGGAUCAGCAUGCCACGGUGAAUACGUUCCCGGGCCUU